UCCGCGGUGCAACAGCAGCAAAACCCGUCGCCCCAGGCCGGGGCCGCACACGGGAUCGGGGCGUCGCCUCUGCAGCUACCGCCUCCGGAGCUGACUAGAACACUGGUUGAUCACAGCAUCCUCAGCGUCCCAUACCACUUAUGUCUGAUGAAAUUUCACACUUGGAUCAACCCACUUCUGCCUGUACUUCCGAAAUCCUAGGAUCUACUGGAGGCCCCAGCGAGAUCCCU